rnacentral:misc_RNA from 1 species
GCAAACUUGGUCAUUUAGAGGAAGUAAAAGUCGUAACAAGGUUUCCGUAGGUGAACCUGCGGAAGGAUCAUUACAAAUCCCCCAUGAUGAUUGACGACGUUGAACCAAUGUGGGUGGCGAGAUGAUGUGAUGGCUGCUGUGCGGGGUCCUAUCCUCCACGGCACGGCACGCACGCUCCUCCCCCCAUUAUAUGACAAACCACUGGCAUCACAACAUGCACAACAUACUUCACUACAACAACAACCUAGAAACAACUUACAACAAUGGAUCUCUAGGCUCUUGCAUCGAUGAAGAACGCAGC